AUUUAUUUAGUUGCGUCAGGCGUUACUUUUCCCCGGGCUUUGCUGCGCUCGACACGGCCACCAGACAAAGCUAGCAACUUCCGCGGCCACCACUGCCCAUCUCCCCUAAAAAAUUGUCGCUCCAAAUCCUCUGUCGCCGCCGCCGCCGUCGCCGCGGAUGCUCCGUCUCCCGCCCUCUCCGCUCGGCGCCCCCUUCUUCUGGCUGCGCGGCUGCUCCGUCUCCCGCCUUCUCCCGUCCGCGCCCCCUUCUUCUGGCUGGCGCGGCUGAUCCGCUGGAGCGGUUUCUCCUCCACCCCGUCCUCUCCAUCAGGCUGGCGGCCUUGGGCCUCUUGCAGUCAAUGUCCGGCGGGGCAAGUCCAGGGAGAACGACCUCUCCCCGAGUUCUUCGAGGGGGCUGUAUCCACCGAUGAUUUCUACCCGCUGCCCGAGUACGUAGCCUCCCUGAUCCCUCCUGCCGACGCGCCGGUAUCCUUUGACCGGUUUGUGGUGGAGCGUUGGGAUGAACAGAAGGAAGCUUCUUACUUCGUCGGGCCCCAAGAAGGCAGCAGCGGCAGUAGCAGCGUCGAUGAAGGAGACGACCAAGGACUUGGCAGCAUCCACGACGACGGCGGCGCACAAGAAAGGGGCAGCACCAUCGACGACCGCUGCGUCGAAGAGUAAGGAAGCAUCGCCGGCGGCGCGCACGAUUUGGAUAGUGGCUUCGGCAACGAUGUCGCCCAAGAUGGGAGCCGCGGCAGAGGCGACGCUGGUCAGCUGGUGUCGGAUACAGAUCCGCCGAGGGGACUCAGGUUACGAUGCGGACGACGAGGACAGCGUUGGAUACGGUGGCCGGCAACCCUGGGCAAUCAACUGCUGCCAUCAGAGCGGAGAACGAAGGGGACCUGCUGUUUGCACCCGAUGAGAUGAGUUUGAUAUUUACAUGGAUUCCAAAUUGAAAUUAACAAGUCGCUGUUUUCCGACUUCAUACAUAAUCUUGAUUCGAGAACAUACAAAAAAAAAACGCAGGGUGCUGCUGGCCACGGAGUCGGUGACGAGCAGGUUGCGGAGAACAUGGGGGCCGGCGUCGUCGACUUUGCAGCCGUGAUGGUCCCGGACGGCGACUCGUCUUCAGACGCUGGGUACCAGGCCACACACGAGCACUAAGAUGGCGGCGACGAGGUGCUCACUGCUCAGCCCCCAUCGUGGUUUCGCCGGCGAUGGCGUCCGGAACCUCAUGCAGCGACGGGUCCGCGCUCGGCUCGUCUGAUUGUGGUUUGGUCACCAGACCGUAGUUUGUCGUCAGUUAGCAUUUUAUUCUGUCAGUUAGCGAGGUGUUUUCUUUUGGUCGCCAGAGUGCAGUUACUCGUCGGGUUCAGCUAGCUGGGGUUAUUCUAAUUUGGUCGUUACCUGGCAAAUAGUCUGAGAUGUUUGUGUUGGAACCUUUUUGGCCGAUGACUCCUAGCAAGAAAUCUAGUCAUGUACCAAUCAAUGGCAAUUGUAAUAUAUUUUUUCCACCGAUGUUGAUUAUCCUGUUCUCCUUC